AACAAACGCUGGCGGCGUGCCUAACACAUGCAAGUCGUACGAGAAAGGGUCCUUCGGGGCCUGAGUAAAGUGGCGCACGGGUGAGUAACGCGUGGAUAAUCUGCCCUUCAGUUGGGAAUAACUCAUCGAAAGGUGGGCUAAUACCGAAUAAUGCUGUGAGACCUCGGUUGAUCAGCCAAGAGAGCCUCUGCUUGCAAGCCCUCGCAGAAGGAUGAGUCCGCGUACCAUUAGCUAGUUGGUAGGGUAAUGGCCUACCAAGGCGACGAUGGUUAGCUGGUCUGAGAGGAUGAUCAGCCACACUGGAACUGAGACACGGUCCAGACUCCUACGGGAGGCAGCAGUGAGGAAUCUUGCGCAAUGGGGGCAACCCUGACGCAGCAACGCCGCGUGAGUGAGGAAGGUCUUCGGAUCGUAAAGCUCUGUCGGAUGGAAAGAACCGCAUAGGGGUAAACAGCCCCUGUGUCUGACGGUACCAUCAAAGGAAGCACCGGCUAACUCCGUGCCAGCCGCCGCCGUAAGAC
rnacentral:rRNA from 1 species